GAAGCCCAAGAGAACUCUGAAGGAAGAAGGGCAUUGUGAUCUAGGGGAAGGUGUCCACCCCAGAGUAUGCAAGGGAUUGCAUUCAGGGUGGGAAAAACAGAAAGACAAACAAAAGCAGGGAUGGAGGCCCAGGUGGAUGUCUUUGUCCAAUAGAUUGAUAAACCAAAGCUCCUAACAUCUCUACAGAGAUACUGAGAUGAGAGCAGGGACACAAACUGCUCCUGCUAUUGGAAAAGCAUCUUCAGGUCCCCAAAAUCUAUCUUUACCUCAAAUGCAGCGUAUUCAUGUGGUGCUUUACCUGACCCACAUUUCCCUGAGCAUCCUCAGUGCCUGUGCCCCAGCAAGCUCUGGCAAAUGCCUUUAUCCCGAGUGCUGCCUGGCUAAUGCCUCAGUAUUUGUGUGGUUUCCUCUCUGCAGAAAGCCUUGCAGUAUUUCCAUCCAUUUAAAGGUCUAUAAGAGGUCUCAUCAAAGCCAGGUAUAGUUUAUAUUGCAGAUGGCUGCUGACAUGAUAUAAUCCACGCUAACAGGCAGGCUGUUAAAGAGGGAGAAAAGACACUAUUUACUGUCAGGCUCUUCAUCAACAUAAUUGGUGGCUUCUCUGGAAUCGCCCCUUUGCUCUAAGAAGUGCUGUAAAUCAGCUGUAGGAAGCCUGGUCUUUGAAAAAUCCUCAAGCGGAAGAGGAGCAUGAGCCACAGCCUGCAGGAUCACAUCCAUGUCUGUGCCAGAUGUGUGCAGUAGGCAGGCACAGCUGAAGCCUUUCUCAUUCUGCAACCCUGUGCUGGCAAAGCUCGAGGUGACAGGAACUGCAGCUUUCAGACGCAAGCAUGCCAGCAACCUGGCUGCACUGGGGAGAGCCCUAAAAGAUGCUGGAGCUCCAGUUCCAGGAGCCGUUGUGCAGUUCCCUCACAGGACGUUGCAGAAUGGUUCUGUUUUCCAAAACACUGCAAUGAACAACAAGAAGUGCCUUCCCUGAUGAGAAGCAGUGCUUGUCCUGCCGGAUUGAGGCACAGCUCCACAUCUGGUCGAGGACAGGCCAAGGCUCUGCUAAUGCCUAGGAUGCUUCUGCUCCACAGCUGCACGCAGGGCUGUGCAUCCUGCAGACAUUUACCCCUGUGCACCUUGCAGCCUGCGCCUAUUUAUGUGCUGAAGGCUUAACGAAAUGAAGUGUUGGAUCACACGCUUAACACCAGCUUUUAGGGGGAUUUCUGGCUCCUUGCCCAGCUGGGAUAAGCUGCACUUUUAGAACCUGCUGCAGCGUAGAACACCCCAGUGCCCAACCCUGUGCUGAGCGCCACUGCUCCCAGUGUCUGUAUUUUUCUUUGCCCGAGCUGAUCCAAUCUGGGAAUAAAAACAGAGGGAAACAGAUGGCCCAUUGUGAGUGCUGCUCCUGCCCUGUACUCCAGCACAGGCUCCAGAGAGCCCGGCACUGGGGCCAGCUAUUGCUGCUGAUUUUCCAUGUGUUAAAUGCAUGAGCUAAGAGGAAGCCAGAGCAGGACAGCACCUCAGCAACCUCUGCAUCAGGGUGGUUUUCCUGAUAGCCCUGAUGAAAUUUCGGGAAAAGAUGAUCCCUGGGGCUCCCAGAGCUAGGUAUCUUGUUGGUUGUGUUAACUGCCAAAUGAUGCUCUGAGAGUAUGAAAAUUCUGAGCAUGAUGCAUUAUUUAGCAUGGUAUAUCACUGGGAAUAUUAUCUGGCAUCCCUGGGUUAUACCUACCACUGAAAAAGAAAAUUUUCACCCUUGCAAAAAUCAAGAGAUUUCUAUCCUCUGUCUAUAAUUUUUAUUGUUUUAUCCAACUCCAGCUCUACCAAAACAAAGGCAGAGAAGUUUCUGUUUCAGCACAGUGGGGUGUGGGAUGGCACCCAAGAGCACCAGGCACAUGCAGCUGGCAGGGCUUUGCCCCGCUCCCAUUCCCCAGGCUUUCCGCCUGCCUUAGAAGUGAAAGCAGAAGGCUGACCCCAAGCAUGAUGAAUUCCUGCUGAGAUUUUUCCCAUUAACUUCAGUAAGGGCUUAAGCCGGUGGUUUUCAGAAGCUGGGUGGCUGGUGGGGAUUUUUGAUGGAGGCAGGGGAGAGAAGACAGGGUGUUAACAUGUUUUUCUGAUUAAUUAUAGUGUUCUCAAGAGUAAGUGAAUAAUAGUACUGGUCAGAGCCAGGCAUCACACGGGUCUCAGCCUUGCAGGGUAAAUGGUGUCUGAAUUGUGAGUAAUGUUGACCUGGCAGAGGCCAGAUAAGAUACGGAUUUUUCACAUCCAGCACUGGACAGAAUCUCACCUAUUGAUAACUAAAUGUACCAAAAUAUGGCAACGUUCAGCACAGCAAUCCCCCUCACCCACUGGAACAGCACUCAGCCAUGCCAGGCAGCAGAAGGGCACAAUUUAAGCUCCAGCAACUGAGAAGCAUUGGUGCUGACUGAAAGUCAGAAAGCAGAGGGAACGAUGGCACCGCCUCUAUCCUACAGUCACUGGUGGCUCUACCAAGUGCCAUGUCAGCACCUUUUGCCUACAGCUCCCACAUUUACCAAUUUCAAAGCCAUCUCACUGUCCUCUGCUGUAGCUGCCCUGAACUACUAAAAAUUCUUUUUUUUCCCCUCAAAAGAUAACAAUCUGCCUAAAGUCAUCUAUGCUUGUUCUUUAGCAUUGUGAAAACACAGAGGUACCUUCUUGUUAUGAAGGUCCUCAGCAGGAAUGUAAUAAAGCGAAUAAUUUGCCUUCCUCACUUUUAUUCUGAUGCAUUCAAAGCUUUUAAUUUUAAUCCUAAAUGGAUCCAUUUUUUUUUCUAUUAUUGUCCUCCUUGAAUGCUUCUCAAUGGAAAGUGUUCACAAUUUCCUAUUAAUGAGCACUGUUUAGGAGAAGGGUUGACUUUUUGACUGGUUUAAAAAAAAAUCUUCUGAAUAUUUCAACUUUCCUUCAGAAUAUAAAUGCCAUCCUCCAGCCAACU